GGCUCCAUAUUGUAGUGGUUAGCACAUCUGCUUUACAUGCAGAAAGUCCUAGGUUCACGCCCGAGGUGGAGCCA
rnacentral:tRNA from 1 species